GAUGAAGAACGUAGCGAAAUGCGAUAAGUAAUGUGAAUUGCAGAAUUCAGUGAAUCAUCGAAUCUUUGAACGCACAUUGCGCCCGCCAGUAUUCUGGCGGGCAUGCCUGUCUGAGCGUCAUUUCAACCCUCAUGCCCCUAGGGCGUGGUGUUGGGGAUCGGCCAAAGCCCGCAAGGGACGGCCGGCCCCUAAAUCUAGUGGCGGACCCGUCGUGGCCUCCCCUGCGAAGUAGUGAUAUUCCGCAUAGGAGAAGCGACGAGCCCCUGCCGUUAAACCCCCAACUUUCUCAGGUUGACCUCAGAUCAGGUAGGAAUACCCGCUGAACUUAAGCAUAUCAAUAGCGGAGGA
rnacentral:misc_RNA from 1 species